UACGGAGGGUGCAAGCGUUAAUCGGAAUUACUGGGCGUAAAGCGCACGCAGGCGGUCGUAUAAGCUAGAAGUGAAAGCCCUGGGCUCAACCUGGGAAGGCCUUUUAGAACUGUACGACUAGAGUCUUGGAGAGGGGAGUGGAAUUCCAUGUGUAGCGGUGAAAUGCGUAGAUAUGUGGAGGAACAUCAGUGGCGAAGGCGACUCCCUGGCCAAAGACUGACGCUCAUGUGCGAAAGUGUGGGUAGCGAACAGG
rnacentral:rRNA from 1 species